rnacentral:rRNA from 1 species
CCUACGGGGGGCUGCAGUGGGGAAUAUUGGACAAUGGGGGCAACCCUGAUCCAGCCAUGCCGCGUGUGUGAAGAAGGCCCUCGGGUUGUAAAGCACUUUCAGUGAGGAAGAACGCCUGGUGGUUAAUACCCAUCAGGAAAGACAUCACUCACAGAAGAAGCACCGACUAACUCCGUGCCAGCAGCCGCGGUAAUACGGAGGGUGCGAGCGUUAAUCGGAAUUACUGGGCGUAAAGCGCGCGUAGGUGGCUUGAUAAGCCGGUUGUGAAAGCCCCGGGCUCAACCUGGGAACGGCAUCCGGAACUGUCAAGCUAGAGUGCAGGAGAGGAAGGUAGAAUUCCCGGUGUAGCGGUGAAAUGCGUAGAGAUCGGGAGGAAUACCAGUGGCGAAGGCGGCCUUCUGGACUGACACUGACACUGAGGUGCGAAAGCGUGGGUAGCAAACAGGAUUAGAUACCCCUGUAGUC